UAGUCCACGCCGUAAACGAUCAUCACUCGCUGUUGGCGAUACACUGUCAGCGGCCAAGCGAAAGCAUUAAGUGGUGCACCGGGGGAGUACGAUCGCAAGAUUGAAACUCAAAGGAAUUGACGGGGGCCCGCACAAGCGGUGGAGCAUGUGGUUUAAUUCGAUGAUACGCGAGGAACCUUACCAGGGCUUAAAUGCAGAACGACAGGCUGAGAAAUCAGUCCUUCUUCGGACGUUUUGCAAGGUGCUGCAUGGUUGUCGUCAGCUCGUGCCGUGAGGUGUCAGGUUAAGUCCUAUAACGAGCGCAACCCCUAUCUUUAGUUGCCAGCGGUUCGGCCGGGGACUCUAAAGAAACUGCCAGCGCAAGCUGUGAGGAAGGUGGGGAUGACGUCAAAUCAUCACGGCCCUUACGUCCUGGGCUACACACGUGCUACAAUGGUGAUGACAGAGGGCAGCCACCCCGCGAGGGGGAGCGGAAUCCCAAAACGAUCAUCUCAGUUCGG
rnacentral:rRNA from 1 species